AUUGAACUGAAGAGUUUGAUCCUGGCUCAGAUUGAACGCUGGCGGCAUGCUUUACACAUGCAAGUCGAACGGUAACAGGGUGCUUGCACCGCUGACGAGUGGCGAACGGGUGAGUAAUGCAUCGGAAUGUACCGUGUAAUGGGGGAUAGCUCGGCGAAAGCCGGAUUAAUACCGCAUACGCCCUGAGGGGGAAAGUGGGGGACCGCAAGGCCUCACGUUAUACGAGCAGCCGAUGUCUGAUUAGCUAGUUGGUGAGGUAAAGGCUCACCAAGGCGUCGAUCAGUAGCGGGUCUGAGAGGAUGAUCCGCCACACUGGGACUGAGACACGGCCCAGACUCCUACGGGAGGCAGCAGUGGGGAAUUUUGGACAAUGGGCGCAAGCCUGAUCCAGCCAUGCCGCGUGUCUGAAGAAGGCCUUCGGGUUGUAAAGGACUUUUGUCCGGGAGCAAAUCCCAGUGGUUAAUACCUACUGGGGCUGAGAGUACCGGAAGAAUAA
rnacentral:rRNA from 1 species